UACCAGCCCCCCGAGUGGUCGGGACGUUUAUUGGGCCUAAAGCGUCCGUAGCCGGUUCUACAAGUCUUCCGUUAAAUCCAACUGCUUAACAGGUGGGCUGCGGAAGAUACUAUAGAGCUAGGAGGCGGGAGAGGCAAGCGGUACUCGAUGGGUAGGGGUAAAAUCCGUUGAUCCAUUGAAGACCACCAGUGGCGAAGGCGGCUUGCCAGAACGCGCUCGACGGUGAGGGAUGAAAGCUGGGGGAGCAAACCGG
rnacentral:rRNA from 1 species